rnacentral:rRNA from 1 species
UACGAAGGACCCGAGCGUUAUCCGGAUUUAUUGGGUUUAAAGGGUGCGUAGGCGGCUUAUUAAGUCAGGGGUGAAAGACGGUGGCUCAACCAUCGCAGUGCCCUUGAUACUGAUGAGCUUGAAUACACUUGAGGUAGGCGGAAUGUGACAAGUAGCGGUGAAAUGCAUAGAUAUGUCACAGAACACCAAUUGCGAAGGCAGCUUACUAAGGUGCAAUUGACGCUGAGGCACGAAAGCGUGGGGAUCAAACAGG